CGGGGUGUAGCGCAGUCUGGUAGCGCGCUUGUUUUGGGAACAAGAGGUCGCUGGUUCGAACCCAGUCACCCCGACCA
rnacentral:tRNA from 2 species